UUGUUUUGAAUAAGCUGUUUUUGAAAAAGAGAUCGUAUUAAGCUGUUUUGCAUAAAUAAGUUGUUUUGAAUAUGUUGUUUUUGAAAAAGAGGUCGUAAUAAGCUGUUUUGUAUAAAUAAGCUGUUUUGAAUAAGCUGUUUUUGAAAAAGAGAUCGUAUUAAGCUGUUUUGCGUAAAUAAGCUGUUUUUGGAAAAGAGGUCGUAAUAAGCUGUUUUGUAUAAAUAAGUUGUUUCGAAUAAGCGGUUUUUGAAAAUGAGGUCGUAAUAAGCUGUUUUAUAUAAAUAAGCAGUUUUGAAUAAGCUGUUUUUGAAAAAGAGAUCGUAUUAAGAUGUUUUGCAUAAAUAAGUUGUUUUGAAUAAGCUGUUUUUGAAAAUGAGGUCCUAUUAAGCUGUUUUGUAUAAAUAAGUUGUUUUCAAUAAGCUGUUUUUGAAAAUGAGGUCGU
rnacentral:lncRNA from 1 species